AUACAUGCAAGUCGAACGAUGAAGUCCUAGCUUGCUAGGAUGGAUUAGUGGCGCACGGGUGAGUAAUAUAUAGUUAAUCUGCCCUACACAGAGGAACAACAGUUGGAAACGGCUGCUAAUACCUCAUACUCCUAUUUGACAUAAGUUAAAUAGGGAAAGUCUUUUCGGUGUAGGAUGAGACUAUAUCGUAUCAGCUAGUUGGUAAGGUAAUGGCUUACCAAGGCUAUGACGCGUAACUGGUCUGAGAGGAUGAUCAGUCACAUUGGAACUGAGACACGGUCCAAACUCCUACGGGAGGCAGCAGUAAGGAAUAUUGCGCAAUGGGGGAAACCCUGACGCAGCAACGCCGCGUGGAGGAUGACACUUUUCGGAGCGUAAACUCCUUUUAUCAGGAAAGAAUAAUGACGGUACCUGAUGAAUAAGCACCGGCUAACUCCGUGCCAGCAGCCGCGGUAAAAGGG
rnacentral:rRNA from 1 species